GACGAACGCUGGCGGCGUGCCUAAUACAUGCAAGUCGAGCGAGACUCUUCGGAGUCUAGCGGCGGACGGGUGAGUAACACGUGGGCAACCUGCCUGUAAGACUGGGAUAACACCGGGAAACCGGUGCUAAUACCGGAUAAUCCUUUUCUUCUCAUGAGGAAAAGCUGAAAGUCGGUUUCGGCUGACACUUACAGAUGGGCCCGCGGCGCAUUAGCUAGUUGGUGAGGUAACGGCUCACCAAGGCGACGAUGCGUAGCCGACCUGAGAGGGUGAUCGGCCACACUGGGACUGAGACACGGCCCAGACUCCUACGGGAGGCAGCAGUAGGGAAUCUUCCACAAUGGACGAAAGUCUGAUGGAGCAACGCCGCGUGAGCGAUGAAGGCCUUCGGGUCGUAAAGCUCUGUUGUUAGGGAAGAACAAGUACCGGAGUAACUGCCGGUACCUUGACGGUACCAAACCAGAAAGCCACGGCUAACUACGUGCCAGCAGCCGCCGUAAUAC
rnacentral:rRNA from 1 species